AGUCGAACGGUAACAGGAAGAAGCUUGCUUCUUUGCUGACGAGUGGCGGACGGGUGAGUAAUGUCUGGGAAACUGCCUGAUGGAGGGGGAUAACUACUGGAAACGGUAGCUAAUACCGCAUAACGUCGCAAGACCAAAGAGGGGGACCUUCGGGCCUCUUGCCAUCGGAUGUGCCCAGAUGGGAUUAGCUUGUUGGUGGGGUAACGGCUCACCAAGGCGACGAUCCCUAGCUGGUCUGAGAGGAUGACCAGCCACACUGGAACUGAGACACGGUCCAGACUCCUACGGGAGGCAGCAGUGGGGAAUAUUGCACAAUGGGCGCAAGCCUGAUGCAGCCAUGCCGCGUGUAUGAAGAAGGCCUUCGGGUUGUAAAGUACUUUCAGCGGGGAGGAAGGGAGUAAAGUUAAUACCUUUGCUCAUUGACGUUACCCGCAGAAGAAGCACCGGCUAACUCCGUGCCAGCAGCCGCGGUAAUACGGAGGGUGCAAGCGUUAAUCGGAAUUACUGGGCGUAAAGCGCACGCAGGCGGUUUGUUAAGUCAGAUGUGAAAUCCCCGGGCUCAACCUGGGAACUGCAUCUGAUACUGGCAAGCUUGAGUCUCGUAGAGGGGGGUAGAAUUCCAGGUGUAGCGGUGAAAUGCGUAGAGAUCUGGAGGAAUACCGGUGGCGAAGGCGGCCCCCUGGACGAAGACUGACGCUCAGGUGCGAAAGCGUGGGGAGCAAACAGGAUUAGAUACCCUGGUAGUCCACGCCGUAAACGAUGUCGACUUGGAGGUUGUGCCCUUGAGGCGUGGCUUCCGGAGCUAACGCGUUAAGUCGACCGCCUGGGGAGUACGGCCGCAAGGUUAAAACUCAAAUGAAUUGACGGGGGCCCGCACAAGCGGUGGAGCAUGUGGUUUAAUUCGAUGCAACGCGAAGAACCUUACCUGGUCUUGACAUCCACGGAAGUUUUCAGAGAUGAGAAUGUGCCUUCGGGAACCGUGAGACAGGUGCUGCAUGGCUGUCGUCAGCUCGUGUUGUGAAAUGUUGGGUUAAGUCCCGCAACGAGCGCAACCCUUAUCCUUUGUUGCCAGCGGUCCGGCCGGGAACUCAAAGGAGACUGCCAGUGAUAAACUGGAGGAAGGUGGGGAUGACGUCAAGUCAUCAUGGCCCUUACGACCAGGGCUACACACGUGCUACAAUGGCGCAUACAAAGAGAAGCGACCUCGCGAGAGCAAGCGGACCUCAUAAAGUGCGUCGUAGUCCGGAUUGGAGUCUGCAACUCGACUCCAUGAAGUCGGAAUCGCUAGUAAUCGUGGAUCAGAAUGCCACGGUGAAUACGUUCCCGGGCCUUGUACACACCGCCCGUCACACCAUGGGAGUGGGUUGCAAAAGAAGUAGGUAGCUUAACCUUCGGGAGGGCGCUUACCACUUUGUGAUUCAUGACUGGGGUGAAGUCGUAACAAGGUAACCGUAGGGGAACCUGCGGUUGGAUCACCUCCUUACCUUAAAGAAGC
rnacentral:rRNA from 1 species